rnacentral:sRNA from 1 species
AUAUAGCCCCGGGAGAAGCGGCAUCCUUUUGCUUUUUUCUUUAAAAAGCAAAAGAUAUAGCGGAUCACGGGAAAUUGC